rnacentral:rRNA from 1 species
CAUGCAGGCGGUUAGACAAGUCAGAUGUGAAAUCCCCGCGCUUAACGUGGGCAUUGCAUUUGAAACUGUUUAGCUAGAGUUCUGUAGAGGGGGGUAGAAUUCCUGGUGUAGCGGUGAAAUGCGCAGAUAUCAGGAGGAACACCGGUGGCGAAGGCGGGACUCUGGGCUGUAACUGACACUGAGGAGCGAAAGCAUGGGGAGCGAACAGGAUUAGAUACCCCUGUA